rnacentral:rRNA from 1 species
AGCGAACGUUUGCGGCGGGCCUAACACAUGCAAGUCGAACGGGCUAGCAAUAGUCAGUGGCGCACGGGUGCGUAACACGUGGGUAAUCAACCCUUCAGCUCGGGAUAACGCCUCGAAAGGGGGGCUAAUACCGCAUGAGACCACGGCUUUUCGGGGCUGUGGGAAAAGGUGGGUCGCAAGGCCUGCCACCUGAGGAUGAGCCCGCGUACCAUUAGGUUGUUGGUGGGGUAAUGGCCUACCAAGCCGAAGAUGGUUAGCUGGUCUGAGAGGACGAUCAGCCACACUGGAACUGAGACACGGUCCAGACUCCUACGGGAGGCAGCAGUGGGGAAUUUUGGACAAUGGGGGCAACCCUGAUCCAGCCAUGCCGCGUGAGUGAAGAAGGCC